GACGGAGGAUGCAAGCGUUAUCCGGAAUGAUUGGGCGUAAGCGUCCGCAGGUGGCAGUUCAAGUCUGCUGUCAAAGACCGGGCUUAACUUCGGAAAGGCAGUGGAAACUGAACAGCUAGAGUAUGGUAGGGGCAGAGGGAAUUCCUGGUGUAGCGGUGAAAUGCGUAGAGAUCAGGAAGAACAUCGGUGGCGAAGGCGCUCUGCUGGACCAUAACUGACACUCAGGGACGAAAGCUAGGGGAGCGAAUGGG
rnacentral:rRNA from 1 species